rnacentral:tRNA from 1 species
GGCUAAGUGAUUUAAGGUGUCAAACUUAAAUUCUUGUCCUUGUAAGAGAGUGUGGGUUUAAAUCCCACUUUUGCCA